rnacentral:SRP_RNA from 12 species
GCCAGCAGCACCAGCGGGGCCAGUCGUGUGCGGUGUU